AACCUGCCGAUCUGAGGGGGAUAGCCGGCCCAACGGCCGGGUAAUACCGCAUACGCUUCUUGAGGGACAUCCCUUGGGAAGGAAACCUCCGGGGCAGAUCGAGGGGCUCGCGGCCUAUCAGCUAGUUGGUGAGGUAACGGCUCACCAAGGCAUCGACGGGUAGCUGGUCUGAGAGGAUGGCUAGCCACAUUGGGACUGAGAGACGGCCCAGACUCCUACGGGAGGCAGCAGUGGGGAAUCUUGCGCAAUGGCCGAAAGGCUGACGCAGCGACGCCGCGUGUGG
rnacentral:rRNA from 1 species